rnacentral:rRNA from 1 species
CAAUAGCGUAUAUUUAAGUUGUUGCAGUUAAAAAGCUCGUAGUUGGAUUUCGGAUGGGAUUUGCCGGUCCGUCGUUACGAUGUGCACUGGCCAGUCCUAUCUUGUUGUCGGGGACUAGCUCCUUGGAUUCACUUCCUGGGACUAGGAGCUGACGAGGUUACUUUGAGUAAAUUAGAGUGUUCAAAGCAAGCCUACGCUCUGAAUACAUUAGCAUGGAAUAACACGAUAGGACUCUGGCUUAUCUUGUUGGUCUGUGAGACCAGAGUAAUGAUUAAGAGGGACAGUCGGGGACAUUCGUAUUUCAUUGUCAGAGGUGAAAUUCUUGGAUUUAUGAAAGACGAACUUCUGCGAAAGCAUUUGUCAAGGAUGUUUNCAUUA